rnacentral:lncRNA from 1 species
CCAGCUGUAAAAUCUUCAUCGAGUGGUUCAAAAUGCAUAUCACUAUCUUAAUUUUAAUCUUUCUUCUAGAAAUCAGAUCGUGAUGAAAUUGUACUGAAAAAUGGGGUGCACAAGAAAAAAAUAUAAAACAAAUAUUUUUAAAAUAUGAAAUGACCAAAAUAUCCCUGAAAAAUGAUGGGGGUAAUUUGUUCAUUUAAAUUCUUAAAAGUAUAAUUUUUUUUACUUUUACAUG